AAGUGGGAUGACGUCAAGUCAGCAUGGCCUUUAUAUCCCUGGGCUACACACACGCUACAAUGGGAAGGGACAAUAGGUUGCGAAGCCGCGAGCGGAGCCAAUCCAGCAAAACUUCCCUCAGUUCAGAUUGCAGGCUGCAACCCGCCUGCAUGAAGUUGGAGUUGCUAGUAAACGCAGGUCAGCCAUACUGCGUUGAAUACGUUCCCGGGGCUU
rnacentral:rRNA from 1 species